CACGUAGGAGGCAAACGUUAUCCGGAUUUACUGGGCGUAAAGCGCGUGUAGGUGGUACUGUAAGUAGGGCGUGAAAGCUCCCGGCUCAACUGGGAGAGGCCGUUCUAAACUGCAGAACUAGAGGAUGGUAGAGGGAGGUGGAAUUCCAGGUGUAGCGGUGGAAUGCGCAGAUAUCUGGAGGAACACCAGUGGCGAAGGCGGCCUCCUGGACCAUUCCUGACACUCAGACGCGAAAGCUAGGGUAGCAAACGGG
rnacentral:rRNA from 1 species